UGAGGGAUGGGGGGUUGCGGCUUGUAGGUGACAGGGGCAGAGGGAAGAUGCAGGGACGGGGCAGGGUGGGGCAGCGGGCGGCCCCGAUACUCACACCUCCAGAAUGCGGUCCCCCUUGCGCACCCCGGCCCGAUCGGCCGCCCCCCCGGGCAGCACGGCGCUCACAUGCUGCAGCGGCGCGUACAGCUCCCCGUUGAUGCUCCGCAGUUGCCCGCCCUCGCUCACUUGGCCCCGCACGUUGAAGCCGUAGCCGGACUCGGACUUGACGAUGCGCACCACCCGCGGGCCGCCGCUUCCCCCGCCGCCGUUCCCGGCGCAGUGGAGACCAGGCCCCCCACCGCCGCCGCCGCCUCCGUUCCUGUGAGAGGCUGAGGGGUGAAUCCCUUCACCGUCCUCGUCCGCCAUCUUGCGCCACAAUAGAGUUCUCUGCAAGAGGCAACAACUGAUGCCUUUUGGCUACCUACCAAAACACAAACUUAUAAACAUUGUGCAGCGUGCUUGGUUAAGGCAAGUAAGAAGAACAAGGGCAAAAACAAUGAAAUAGCUUACUUAAGCAUUUAUUUCUCAGGUUUGAUGUUUGAUUUUACCCUACUGACAGGCUGGUAAAUUAAGUCUGUUACUGCUUCGUGGAUGCUGACAGAAGACACAAGACUCCUGUGUGAGAGACAAAGGACUAUUACUUAUGACACAGCAAGCAACAUGUGCUUCAGAUAGUUUGUGUCGGUUCUUCUUGCAUCCCGGGCCCCAUGGGGUGACACAAAGGGAUUGGAUGAAUGCUGCACACUCGAUGGAUUUACGUCACAACUGAGGAACACUGAGUUUGGGGAAUCUGCCAUUUUAUAGGAAGCAAUAAGCAAACCUGUUCUUUAUUCUAAAGGAAGACAUUACUUCAUCCUUCAAAGCUGCUCACUGUAAACACAACUCUAAGAAAUAACCUUGGUAAGGAGCAGACACAGCCUUAUAUUCUUGUCAUACCCAGGAAGAUGUGUAGGAGGGCAAAAGACCCAUGGAUGACUGUCUCGCCCAAGAGUCAUAUGUGCCAAACACUAUGCUAAGCGCUUUACAUCUACAAUGUCAUUUAAUCCUCACAAUUCUAAGCAUUUUAUAUCUAUAAUAUCAUUUAAUCCUCAUUUAUGUAUAAGUAAACAGGCAUAGAGAGUUCACACAGCUAAUAAGCAAUGGAACCAGAAGCAUAUAGUUAAAAGACCAUAAGAGUUAACUUGCAGAGUUCUAUGACUGAUAAAAGCAAGAAACAACCCCCUGAAAGAAUUUGUGAAUAUGUAAGUGUUUCCAGGAAUUGCUCAAGGGAAAGAAAAAAAAUCCAGUAAAAGAAUUAAAAUAUCUCAUGAAUUGUGGAAUGAGGACUCAGAGUCAUCUAUAAUUAGAACACAAAAAAUAACUGUGACCUUAUUUUAUAACCAAGAUAAUGAAGAAGAAUACCUAUUACUUAUACAAAUAUGGAAAGCAAUAAGAGUUAAAUAAGAAUUUUGCUCCAAAAUAAUAAAAGCAUUCAGGGUGAAUGCAAAUCAUUUGGUUUGAACUGUGCUCUGAAUGAGAAGGAAUUUAUCUACUAAAGGAAGGGGUCAGAGAAAGGAAAAAGAGAGGAGCCUCCACAGAAAGAGUUAUUUUUUUCAUUUAUUUAUUUCACAAAGAUGUACUGAGUACCUUUUCUGUCUCAGGCUCUGUAGCAGUGGCUAGUGGAUACAGAGGUAAAUAAGAUGAUGUCUACAAGCUUCAUGGAGGGCAAUAUGCCAUGGGCAAAAUUACAAAUGCACACACCCCUUGAUCUAGCAUUUCUACUUCCAGGAUUCAUUCUACUAUUACACCCACACAUUUCUGAAAUGGCAUUUUCAUGAGGUUAGUCAUGGCAGUAUUAUUUGUAUUCACAAAAGACUGGGAACAACCGAAAUGCUCAUUGGUUAAACUAUGAUAGAUCCACACAAUGGAAAACUGAAUAAACAAAGAAUAAGGAAGUUCUUCGUGUACUGAUAUGGAAUGCUCUCGUGGACACCAUAUAUGGUUAGGUGAAAACAAGGUGCAGCAUGGUCUGUAGAACAUGAUACCGUUUGAGUAAACAGGGAACCAUAUAUAUGGUUAUGUCUCUGGAAGUAUUCACAAGAAACUGAUAACAUUGAUUGCCUCUGGAGGAGGGCUGGGCAGCUGGGGCAGAUGGGGUAGGUUGGAGACUUUCCACUCUAUGCCUUUUUAUACCUUGAAUUUUUAGUGAGUGUAUUACCUAUUCAGAAAGUUAAUCAAAAUAUUUAGAAAAGAUCAGAUGGAAAGAAAAGGCCAUCAGAGCAUCAAAAUAAGAAAAUAAAAUAAGACAGCAUUACUGUUCUCAAACGCUCAGAAUCUAGUAAAAGAUACAGCAAAAGAAAAAGUGAUUACAAUACAGUGUAAUGAGAGGUAUGAUGGAGCCUGUGUGAGCUGCUAGGAGUGCAUACAGGAGGGGUCUUCAACCAUCUGGAGGGUGAGGAGUUAGGGAAAAAUUCUCAUGAAAUGAGACCACUAAGCUGAGUUUCCAGAGAAGAGAAGAUUUAGCAAGACAGGGAAGGUAGUGGUUGAGGGCAUUUCUGACAAGGAGAACAGUUUAACACAUCUCAGACACAGAAAUCUAAAAGAACCUGAUGCAGUCUAAGGACAACAAACAGCAGUUCGGUAAGACCGGAGCAGAGGGGAGGGGCAAAGGAGGGCAAGAGUCAGAUCUGGGAGGGCUACGGAUAUUGACUAUCAUGCCCAGGAGUUAGAAUUGCAUUCCUAAAUAUUUGGGACCUCUGAAUGCUUUUAAGCAGAGCAGCAGCAUUGUCAAAUUUGUGCUUCAGAAAGUUUUCUCUGUGGGAAGUGUGGAGAAUGAAUUGAGAUGGGAAGAUCAGUUAAGAAACAGUUGCAGGGAUUCAGGCGAGAAUUGAUGAGAUUGACCUAGGGCAGUGGUAGUACGAAUACGGAGGAGAUUCACUCGUGAGAAAGGUUGGUGACCACUUGGAUCUCAGAUGUUGGGGUGAGGGAGGAAAGAAUGACAUAAGAUUCCUGACUUGGGCAAAACUGUAGUUGAUGGUGUGAUUCCCCAAAACAAGGUAUAAAAAGGAAGAGGAAGAGGUUUGCAGGGAAGAUGAGUUCAGUUUGGGCAUGUUAGAUUUGAGGGGCCUGUAAGAGAUCCUGGUGGCACAGUGGUUAAGAGCUUGGCUGCUAACCAAAAGGUUGGCAGCUCGAAUCCACCAACCACUCCUUGGAAACCCUAUGGGGCAGCUCUACUCUGUCCUAUAGGGUCACUAUGAGUCAGAAUCCACAGGAUGGCAAAAAGGUUACAGGUACAAGAUUCAGGAGAAAUUGUCUGGUAAUUAGUCAGAUGCAAGAGGCUGGCAUUGGGGGAAGGAGUCUGGACCAGAGCAUAGAUUUGGGAGCUUUCAGCGCUGGUGGAAACAGACGAGAGCCCCCAGGCACAGAGUGUAGUGAGAUGAUGAAGUGCCAAGGCCAGAACCUGCAGAAUUCUCCCCUUUCCAAUUUAGAAGACCAGAAAAGGAAGGGGAUCUAUGAAAAAUGAGCAAGAGGAGUCUAAGUCCCUUCUUCAUGAAGCCUCCCCUGAUGAUUCCAGUUCACUCUGACAUCUCUUUUCUAAAGUCCUAUGACAAAUACACCUUAAGCAGACUGGAGUGAGAGAUUCUUCUACUGGCCAUGAGGAAGUAUGCUGCCAUGUUGUGAGUGGCCUAUGGAGAGGACAUGGCAGGAACUGCAGGGCCUCUAAGAGCUAAGAGCGGCCCCCAGCUGACAGUCAGCAAGAAAAUGGGAGCCUCAGUCCUACACCCACAAGGAACUGAAUUCUGCCACGGAACAACUACGUGAGCUUGAAAGAGGACCCCAGCCUCCAGAAAGGAACAUAGCCCAGCCAAUACCUUGAUUGUAGGCUUGUGAGACCCUGAUCAGAGCAACUAGUUGAGCUGUGUCCAAACUCCUGACCAACAAAGACUGUGAUAUAAUAAAUGCGUGUUGUUUACAGCUGCUAAAUUUGUGGUAAUUUGUUAUACAACAGCUCCUAUGGUUAGCACUACUCAGUUUAGACAAUAAUAAUUUAAUUAUCCACUUAGCUUCACAUUUCCAAUCUGAACAUAAGCUUCCUGAAAACAAGGACCUGGUCACAUAUACUUGUCAUGUACAUAUGUGUGGAAGUAAGAUGCACAGAGGAGGAGCCCAACAAGUGUUUCUAGAAUGUUAGGAAAGGACCAUAACGUGACUAAUAACACAUGCUGCGUAGGGUUGUGGCAGGGAGCACCUGAGUAAUAGGUGGGAAAUACCUAACACAAUGCUUAGCCCAUUUGUUGUUCUUGUUGUUAGGUGCCGCCAAGUUGGUUCCAACUCACAGUGACCCUAUGUACUGCCCGAUCCUGUACCAACCUCACAAUCAUUGUUAUGUUUGAGCCCAUUGUUGCAACCAUUGUAUCAAUCCAUCCCUUUGAGGGUCUUCAUCUUUUUUGCUGACCCUCUACUUUACCAAGUGUUGUGGAUUGAAUUGUGUCCCCCCCAAAAAUGUGUAUCAACUUGGCUAGGCCAUAAUUUCCAGUAUUGUGUGAUUGUCCACCAUUUUGUCAUCUGAUAUGAUUUUCCCACGUGUUGUAAAUUCUACCUCUAUGAUGUUAAUGAGGCAGGAUUAGAGGUUGGUUAUGUUAAUGAGGCAGGAUUUAAUCUACACAAUUAGGUUGUGUCUUAAAUCAAUCUCUUCUGAGAUAUAAAAGAGACAAAUGAACAGUGGUGGGGGGGGACCUCAUACUACCAAGAAAAAAGAACCAGGAGAAUAGCUCAUCCUUUGGACUUGGGGCCCCUGUGCUGAAAUGCUCCUAGAAACUAGGGAAAGAUAGAUGACAAGGGCCUUCCCCCAGAACCAACAGAGAGAGAAAGCCUUACCCUGGAGCUGGCACCCUUAAUUCGGACUUCUAGCCUCCUAGACUGUGAAAGAGUAAGUUUCUCUUUGUUAAAGCCAUCUACUUGUGGUAUUUCUGUUAGAGCAGCACUAGAUAACCAAGACACCAAGCAUGAUGUCCUUCUCCAGGGACUGGUUCCUCCUGAUAACAUGUCCAAAGUACAUGGGAUUAAGUCUCAUCAUCCUUGCUUCUAAGAACCAUUCUGGCUGUAAUUCUUCUGAGAAAGAUUUGUUCAUUCUUCUGGCACAGUCCAUGAUAUAUUCAAUAUUCUUUGCCAACACCGUAAUUCAAAGGCAUUAAUUCUCCUUCAGUCUUCCUUAUUCAUUGUCCAGCUUUCGCUUAGCCCGUAGCUCUUUUUAAGUAUACUAAUAAAAUCACAUCUAGCCCCAUUCCUUCAUUUUGCUGGUAAAGAAAUCACUCCCUCCACCACCACCCCAAAAAUGAAACAGACCCAGGAAGGCAUAGCAACUUGUUCAAGGUCACGAAGCAAGUCAGGGGCCAGAACUCAACCCUAAGAAGAAACAUUAUAUGGUUUAAGUAAGUGUGCUAUUAUCUUGUGAAUUUAUGGGUUGAAAAAAAACAAAAACGGAGGAGGAAACUCUGUCCCUAAUUCCUGCUCUUCUUUUCUCUUCUCUACCUUUCUGCACUUCCUCCAUGAAGAUCACAUGAAAAACUACUUUCUGGGUAAAAUGAGUGACUGAUUCACAGAGA